rnacentral:lncRNA from 1 species
GUCGAACCAACGGCGCUCAGCCAGCCACCGACACGGACGAGGAAGGCGUAGGUGAUGUCGUGGAGUUUGGGUUCAGGCGGGACCAUGAAGAUCGCCAGGCUCCUUCUCCCCUGGUCUUGUUCCACUCUUUCUGUGAAGGCACCAACCUGCCUCCCAGCUUCGAAAACUACUACUUCGCCACGUACCUCCUCAUCUAUGAAGACACAAAAGUUGACUACAGUGAACAUUACAAGAGAUAAACAGGGAUUAUUUUCUUUAGUAUUUCGCUAAAGAAAUCCUAAAGAAUCUGAAUCUGCCUGACCUGUUCAACUUUAGACUGAGAAGAUGCAAUCAACAGUCUACAAUCUACAGUCUACAAUCAACAGUUUCACCACCUGGAUUAUACUAUACAGUAUUUGUAAAACAAGGAGAGGAAGUGUUUCCCUUCAGAAGUCGUCAGUGUAAUUUGUUCCCUCAUGAUGGAUUUCCUGAUGUAAGUCAGAGGGAAAGAUAGGUGGGACCUUGGAGUAGAAUAUCCAAUGAGAAACUACUUAACACUUCAAAACUGGGUGCUAUUGGCUGUGGCAGUCUGCUGUGAAGGAGAGCCACUGCCUUACUAAAGUUUUUUCCUUGUGUCAUUUUGAUUUAAAAUUGCUGUCAUUGUGAUAUAACUUGUUAGGAUCUGUACACCGGACAAUAAAUAUUGAUCAUUAAAGUAUUUGUCAUUAGACAAGAUCAGGC